CUUAUGAUGGCGACCGGCGCACGGGUGCGUAACGCGUAUGCAACCUACCUUUUACAGGGGCAUAACACUGAGAAAUUGGUACUAAUUCCCCAUAAUAUCUGAGACGGCAUCGUUUUGGGUUGAAAACUCCGGUGGUAAAAGAUGGGCAUGCGUUGUAUUAGCUAGUUGGUGAGGUAACGGCUCACCAAGGCGACGAUACAUAGGGGGACUGAGAGGUUAACCCCCCACAUUGGUACUGAAACACGGACCAAACUCCUACGGAAGGCAGCAG
rnacentral:rRNA from 1 species